rnacentral:rRNA from 1 species
GGGUGCAGCAGGCGCGAAAACUUUACACUGCUGGAAACAGCGAUAAGGGAACCUCGAGUGCCAGGUUACAAAUCUGGCUGUCGUGAUGCCUAAAAAGCAUUGCAUAGCAAGGGCCGGGCAAGACCGGUGCCAGCCGCCGCGGUAACACCGGCGGCUCGAGUGGUAACCGUUAUUAUUGGGUCUAAAGGGUCUGUAGCCGGCCGGAUAAGUCUCUUGGGAAAUCUGGCAGCUUAACUGUCAGGCUUUCAGGAGAUACUGUCUGGCUCGAGGCCGGGAGAGGUGAGAGGUACUUCAGGGGUAGGGGUGAAAUCUUGUAAUCCUUGAAGGACCACCAGUGGCGAAGGCGUCUCACCAGAACGGACCUGACGGCAAGGGACGAAAGCUAGGGGCACGAACCGGAUUAGAUACCCGGGUAGUCCUAGCCGUAAACGAUACUCGCUAGGUGUCGGCCACGGUGCGACCGUGGUCGGUGCCGUAGGGAAGCCGUGAAGCGAGCCACCUGGGAAGUACGGCCGCAAGGCUGAAACUUAAAGGAAUUGGCGGGGGAGCAC